rnacentral:rRNA from 1 species
AGCGAACGCUGGCGGCAGGCUUAACACAUGCAAGUCGAACGGGCGUAGCAAUACGUCAGUGGCAGACGGGUGAGUAACGCGUGGGAACGUGCCUUUUGGUUCGGAACAACUGAGGGAAACUUCAGCUAAUACCGGAUAAGCCCUUACGGGGAAAGAUUUAUCGCCAAAAGAUCGGCCCGCGUCUGAUUAGCUAGUUGGUGAGGUAAUGGCUCACCAAGGCGACGAUCAGUAGCNGGUCUGAGAGGAUGAUCAGCCACACUGGGACUGAGACACGGCCCAGACUCCUACGGGAGGCAGCAGUGGGGAAUAUUGGACAAUGGGCGCAAGCCUGAUCCGGCCAUGCCGCGUGAGUGAUGAAGGCCUUAGGGUCGUAAAGCUCUUUUGUGCGGGAAGAUAAUGACGGUACCGCAAGAAUAA